AGAUUGAACUGAAGAGUUUGAUCCUGGCUCAGAUUGAACGCUGGCGGCAUGCUUUACACAUGCAAGUCGAACGGCAGCACGGGGGCAACCCUGGUGGCGAGUGGCGAACGGGUGAGUAAUAUAUCGGAACGUACCCGGAAAUGGGGGAUAACGUAGCGAAAGUUACGCUAAUACCGCAUAUGCCCUGAGGGGGAAAGCGGGGGAUUCGUAAGAACCUCGCGUUUUCGGAGCGGCCGAUAUCGGAUUAGCUAGUAGGUGAGGUAAAGGCUCACCUAGGCGACGAUCCGUAGCUGGUCUGAGAGGACGACCAGCCACACUGGAACUGAGACACGGUCCAGACUCCUACGGGAGGCAGCAGUGGGGAAUUUUGGACAAUGGGCGAAAGCCUGAUCCAGCCAUGCCGCGUGAGUGAAGAAGGCCUUCGGGUUGUAAAGCUCUUUCAGCCGGAAAGAAAUCGUACAGACUAAUACUCUGUAUGGAUGACGGUACCGGAAGAAGAAGCACCGGCUAACUACGUGCCAGCAGCCGCGGUAAUACGUAGGGUGCGAGCGUUAAUCGGAAUUACUGGGCGUAAAGCGUGCGCAGGCGGUUUUGUAAGACAGAUGUGAAAUCCCCGGGCUUAACCUGGGAACUGCAUUUGUGACUGCAAGGCUAGAGUACGGCAGAGGGGGGUAGAAUUCCACGUGUAGCAGUGAAAUGCGUAGAUAUGUGGAGGAAU
rnacentral:rRNA from 1 species